rnacentral:SRP_RNA from 1 species
UAUCGGCUCCUUCGCGACGGCCAGCCGCAAACCCCGUCAGGCCCGGAAGGGAGCAGCGGUAGCGGUGACGCCGGGUGCCGGAGAUCAGCCGGUGCGG